rnacentral:rRNA from 1 species
CUCUUCGGGGAUGAUUAAACCGGCGCACGGGUGAGUAACACGUGAGUGACCUGCCUUUUAGACUGGAACAACUUACCGAAAGGUGAGCUAAUGCCGGAUGAGUUAUAUAAGUGCAUGUUUAUAUAGGAAAAGUUGGGGAGACCUGACGCUGAAAGAUGGACUCGCGUCCCAUUAGCUAGUUGGUAGGGUAAUGGCCUACCAAGGCGACGAUGGGUAGCCGGCCUGAGAGGGUGGCCGGCCACACUGGGACUGAGACACGGCCCAGACUCCUACGGGAGGCAGCAGUGGGGAAUUUUGCGCAAUGCUCGUAAGAGUGACGCAGCGACGCCGCGUGAAUGACGAAGGCCUUCGGGUCGUAAAGUUCUUUCGACAGGGAAGAAAAUGCCUAUAAGUAACUGUGUAUGUAUUGACGGUACCUGUAUAAGCGGCCCCGGCUAACUCCGUGCCAGCAGCCGCGGUAAUACGGAGGGGGCGAGCGUUGUUCGGAGUGACUGGGCGUAAAGAGCACGUAGGCGGUGUUGUAAGUCAUUAGUCAAAGACUAGAGCUCAACUUUAGUAAGGCUAGUGAUACUAUAAUACUAGAGUAUCAGAGAGGAUUGCAGAAUUCCUGGUGUAGCGGUGAAAUGCGUAGAUAUCAGGAGGAAUACCGUUAGCGAAGGCGGCAAUCUGGCUGGAAACUGACGCUGAGGUGCGAAAGCGUGGGUAGCAAACAGGAUUAGAUACCCUGGUAGUCCACGCUGUAAACGAUGGAUGCUAGGUGUUGGGCUUUUAAGUUCAGUGCCGCAGCAAACGCG